GACGAACGCUGUCGGCGUGCUUAACACAUGCAAGUCGAACGGAAAGGCCCUGCUUUUGUGGGGUGCUCGAGUGGCGAACGGGUGAGUAACACGUGAGUAACCUGCCCUUGACUUUGGGAUAACUUCGGGAAACUGGGGCUAAUACCGGAUAGGAGCUCCUGCUGCAUGGUGGGGGUUGGAAAGUUUCGGCGGUUGGGGAUGGACUCGCGGCUUAUCAGCUUGUUGGUGGGGUAGUGGCUUACCAAGGCUUUGACGGGUAGCCGGCCUGAGAGGGUGACCGGCCACAUUGGGACUGAGAUACGGCCCAGACUCCUACGGGAGGCAGCAGUGGGGAAUAUUGCACAAUGGGCGGAAGCCUGAUGCAGCAACGCCGCGUGCGGGAUGACGGCCUUCGGGUUGUAAACCGCUUUCGCCUGUGACGAAGCGUGAGUGACGGUAAUGGGUAAAGAAGCACCGGCUAACUACGUGCCAGCAGCCGCGGUGAUACGUAGGGUGCGAGCGUUGUCCGGAUUUAUUGGGCGUAAAGGGCUCGUAGGUGGUUGAUCGCGUCGGAAGUGUAAUCUUGGGGCUUAACCCUGAGCGUGCUUUCGAUAAGGGUUGACUUGAGGAAGGUAGGGGAGAAUGGAAUUCCUGGUGGAGCGGUGGAAUGCGCAGAUAUCAGGAGGAACACCAGUGGCGAAGGCGGUUCUCUGGGCCUUUCCUGACGCUGAGGAGCGAAAGCGUGGGGAGCGAACAGGCUUAGAUACCCUGGUAGUCCACGCUGUAAACGGUGGGUACUAGGUGUGGGGUCCAUUCCACGGGUUCCGUGCCGUAGCUAACGCUUUAAGUACCCCGCCUGGGGAGUACGGCCGCAAGGCUAAAACUCAAAGGAAUUGACGGGGCCCCGCACAAGCGGCGGAGCAUGCGGAUUAAUUCGAUGCAACGCGUAGAACCUUACCUGGGUUUGACAUGGAUCGGGAGUGCUCAGAGAUGGGUGUGCCUCUUUUGGGGUCGGUUCACAGGUGGUGCAUGGCUGUCGUCAGCUCGUGUCGUGAGAUGUUGGGUUAAGUCCCGCAACGAGCGCAACCCUUGUUCACUGUUGCCAGCACGUUAUGGUGGGGACUCAGUGGAGACCGCCGGGGUCAACUCGGAGGAAGGUGGGGAUGACGUCAAGUCAUCAUGCCCCUUAUGUCCAGGGCUUCACGCAUGCUACAAUGGCUGGUACAGAGAGUGGCGAGCCUGUGAGGGUGAGCGAAUCUCGGAAAGCCGGUCUCAGUUCGGAUUGGGGUCUGCAACUCGACCUCAUGAAGUCGGAGUCGCUAGUAAUCGCAGAUCAGCAACGCUGCGGUGAAUACGUUCCCGGGGCU
rnacentral:rRNA from 1 species